GAAAUGCGAUAAGUAAUGUGAAUUGCAGAAUUCAGUGAAUCAUCGAAUCUUUGAACGCACCUUGCGCUCCUUGGUAUUCCUUGGAGCAUGCCUGUUUGAGUAUCAUGAAAUCUUCAAAGUAAAUCUUUUGUUAACUCAAUUGGUUUCUACUUUGGUAUUGGAGGUCUUUGCAGCUUCACACCUGCUCCUCUUUGUUCAUUAGCUGGAUCUCAGUGUUAUGCUUGGUUCCACUCGGCGUGAUAAGUUAUCUAUCGCUGAGGACACUGUAAAAGGUGGCCAAGGUAAAUGCAGAUGAACCGCUUCUAAUAGUCCAUUGACUUGGACAAUACUAUUAUGAUCUGAUCUCAAAUCAGGUAGGACUACCCGCUGACCUUAAGC
rnacentral:misc_RNA from 1 species